AUUGAACGCUGGCGGAAUGCUUUACACAUGCAAGUCGAGCGGCAGCGCGGGGCAACCCUGGCGGCGAGCGGCGAACGGGUGAGUAAUAUAUCGGAACGUACCCCGUCGUGGGGGAUAACACAGCGAAAGCUGUGCUAAUACCGCAUACGACCUGAGGGUGAAAGCGGGGGAUCGCAAGACCUCGCGCGAUGGGAGCGGCCGAUAUCGGAUUAGCUUGUUGGUGAGGUAAAGGCUCACCAAGGCGACGACCCGUAGCUGGUCUGAGAGGACGACCAGCCACACUGGAACUGAGACACGGUCCAGACUCCUACGGGAGGCAGCAGUGGGGAAUUUUGGACAAUGGGGGCAACCCUGAUCCAGCCAUUCCGCGUGAGUGAAGAAGGCCUUCGGGUUGUAAAGCUCUUUCAGCAGGAACGAAACGGUGGCCACUAAUACUGGCUACUAAUGACGGUACCUGAAGAAGAAGCACCGGCUAACUACGUG
rnacentral:rRNA from 1 species